rnacentral:misc_RNA from 1 species
CGCACAUUGCGCCCGCCAGUAUUCUGGCGGGCAUGCCUGUCCGAGCGUCAUUUCACCCCCCAGGCCCGGCCUGGCGUUGGGGCUCUGCGCGAGAGCGCAGGCCCUCAAGUACAGAGGCGAGCCGGCCGUGGAUACCGAGCGUAGUAAAUCUCUUCGCCCCGGGAGCCCGGACGGCCUCCGCCGUGAAGCCCACAGUCUUACACAAGGUUGACCUCGGAUCAGGUAGGAAUACCCGCUGAACUUAA